CAGGUGGAAGCCUCUUGUCACCUGGGCAAAGGGACUGAAGUAAAAGAGCAGUCUCAGUCAGCCUUCAUGGGAGAUGACUUCUCCAGAACCUCUCCAGUGCUGCUGAAGGAGCUAAAGACUUCAGUAUCUAUCCCCUCCCAGGCAAAGGCAUGAAAGCAAGAGCCACCUUUGAGCACACCGUGACUGCUGCCGUGACGUUCUCCCGAGCUGACAUCCCGACCGGUCUGACGCUGAUGCCUUUGGGCAGAAAUCAGAGCCGGUUUGCUCCAUGCCUGUGUGGCUGCGCUGCCUGCAGAGCCUCCAGAGCCCCCCGUGCCCUGCUGGGGAAAUGGAGCGAGCGCCUGGGCCCCGGAUGAACUCCAGGAGGAGGGCAGGCACUGUCCCCGGUGAUCCUGCCGCCCGCUUUCGCCUCUAAGUGCUCGCCUUGAGAUGCUUUUUCCUUCUCUCUUUUCCCCUCUCUGCCUUCUUCCCUCGCCUGCGAGAGGGUUGGUUUCCUGUCCGCCCCCAGUCGCAGCGUCCUUGGGGAGCUUGGCUUUCAUGAGCUGGAAAAGGAGUGCACAAGCAUCUGAUCAGCCUUGAUUAGUGUUGAGAAAGAUCUAAUAGCUCCUGGCUUCUGGGACCAUUACCUGUCAUUUAGUUUUAUUAAGGCAGUGAUGAGAAAGUUUAAAAUUAAAGGCUUUGUAAAUUGGAUUCCAGUUUGAAAGGGAGGCACCUACCAGGAAGUUAGUGCCAGAGCUUGGGCAUGGGCCACUGGGAACAACACCAGCUGCUUGACAAAGCUCCUGUGCCAGGGCAUGGAAGGGAGGUAGUUUGUGACACAGCCUCGAGGUAGGCAGAAAUCUGCAGCUCUGUGAACCAUGUAAUCCUUCCUCUGCCAGGCUACUCACCUUCAGACCUACAGCUACUGGGCAUGAGGAGGGGUGGGCUUCUGGUUGAGUCACCCCCCAGUGCCUUGAGUCCUAAUUUGGCUGAAAUGAUGCCAGGCGAAUCAUUUCAUCUCCUCAGGGCUCAUUGCCUUAUUUUCCAGGAGCAGGUAUUAAUAUUAUUGAUUUUGUUAGUCUUGCCUGUUGUCUGGUCGAGGUCUUUGAGAUCAGGGCCAUCGCUGAUUCUUGCUCUGCAGCUCUUUUGAGUCUUCCAGGCUUCUGGUAGGUCCAUAAAAGAAAGGAUGAGCCAUCUAGUGAAGAGAGAGAUCUCUCAUUCUUAGGGGCUGUGAAGUUGCAGCAUUCUCAGCUUUUGAGACUGAUUUUUGAAUCAGCCAUCCAAAGAGACUCAUGAGUGCAGUCCCCCAGUUGCAAUACAGCAAUCCAGCUCACUAAUUAUGGUGUGACAAGGGAAGCUUAGGGGCCAAUCACAACAAAGAGCUGCUGUCACUUCUGUUUGCUCAGUGGAAUAAAAGUCUGGUGGUGACAUUGCUCUGAUGAGAAGCAGCAUGAA